ACAUUGUUAGGCUUAGUAUCACAAUCAUUAGCCAUCUGAUAAAAUAAUUUCAAAGCCUGUUUGGUCAUGAUUUUGGUUGAUGCUGCUGUGAUUUCACUAUGGCUUUGUUGCAGGGUUCUUGUGUAUCAACCGAAAGCUGAACAAAUUGAUUUGAGAUCUGGAAGUUUGUCGGAAGAAAAUGAAUCAGCUGUUGUGUUGGAUUGUUUUGGCUGAUGUUACAUAUUUCUGGACUGUUGAAGAUUGGUUCAAGGAGUGACGGGUGAGUCUUGUGCAUGAUGAUGGUGGAGGGAGACGGUGAGGGAAAAGGUUGAAGAGUUUUUUUUUGUUGUGGAAUUUUUCCUCCAUAUUUCCUUUUAAUUCCAACCAAUUAUUGUAAUAUGUAUUAGUCACUAGGAUAUAAUAAGUUGUAAUAGUAUUUAGCUUAUGUAAAAUGAUUCACACAAUGCCAAAUUUCAUGUAAUGCAAUGCAUAUGGACAUGUUUAUGGGAUCA